rnacentral:misc_RNA from 1 species
AACGCAAAUUGCACUCGAGGCCCCGGCCGAGAGUAUGCCUGCCUCAGCGUCGGUUUACACCCUCUUCCGAGAGUUUUUACUCUUUUGGAAGGACCUGGCUGUCCCGAUGAUAUAGCACCUAUACCGUCGGGUCCGCUGAAGAACAGAGGCCCGAGCGUGGACCCUCCUCGAGAUGGGCAACAGUCUGGUAGGCGAUCCGGGAGGAAAACUCCUCCCGUCCUCGCAUGCCGCUGUUGGCCUGGGGACCACCGCUGGAAGCCGCAAGCAGGAAGCCCAUCAACAUUCGACCUGAGUUCAGGCAAGAGCACCCGCUGAACUUAA